CCUACGGGAGGCAGCAGUGAGGAAUAUUGGUCAAUGGACGAGAGUCUGAACCAGCCAUGUAGCGUGAAGGAUGACUGCCCUAUGGGUUGUAAACUUCUUUUAUAAAGGAAUAAAACGAGGCACGUGUGCCUUUUUGCAUGUACUUUAUGAAUAAGGAUCGGCUAACUCCGUGCCAGCAGCCGCGGUAAUACGGAGGAUCCGAGCGUUAUCCGGAUUUAUUGGGUUUAAAGGGAGCGUAGAUGGGUUGUUAAGUCAGUUGUGAAAGUUUGCGGCUCAACCGUAAAAUUGCAAUUGAUACUGGCAGUCUUGAGUACAGUUGAGGUAGGCGGAAUUCGUGGUGUAGCGGUGAAAGGCUUAGAUAUCACGAAGAACCCCGAUUGCGAAGGCAGCUUACUAAACUGUGACUGACAUUGAUGCUCGAAAGUGUGGGUAUCAAACAGGAUUAGAUACCCUAGUAGUC
rnacentral:rRNA from 1 species